GAUGAACGCUGGCGGCGUGCCUAAUACAUGCAAGUCGAGCGAACGGACGAGAAUCUUGCUUCUCUGAUGUUAGCCGCGGACGUGUGAGUAACACGUGUAUCACCUACCUAUAAUACUGGUAUAACUUCGAGAAACCGGAGCUAAUACCGUAUAAUAUCUUGAACCGCAUUGUUCAAUAGUGAAAUACGGUCUUGCUGUCACUUAUAGAUGGAUCCGCGCUGCAUUAGCUAGUUGGUAAGGUAACGGCUUACCAAGGCAACGAUGCAUAUCCGACCUGAGAGGGUGGUCGGCGACACUGGAACUGAGACACGGUCAAGACUCCUACGGGAGGCAGCAGUAGGGAAUCGUCGGCAGUGGGCGAAAGCAUGACGGAGCAACGCCGAGUGAGAGAUGAAGGUCUUCGGAUCGUAAAAAUCUGUUAUUAGGGAAGAACAUAUGUGUAAGUAACCGUGCACAGCUUGACGGUAACUAAUAAGAAAGCAACGGCUAACUACGUG
rnacentral:rRNA from 1 species